rnacentral:rRNA from 1 species
AAUGAACGCUGGCGGCAGGCCUAACACAUGCAAGUCGAACGGAGCCUUCGGGUUCAGUGGCGGACGGGUGAGUAACGCGUGGGAACGUGCCCUUUGGUUCGGAAUAGCCCUGGGAAACUGGGAGUAAUACCGAAUGUGCCCUUCGGGGAAAGAUUUAUCGCCAAAGGAUCGGCCCGCGUUGGAUUAGGUAGUUGGUGGGGUAAUGGCCUACCAAGCCGACGAUCCAUAGCUGGUUUGAGAGGAUGAUCAGCCACACUGGGACUGAGACACGGCCCAGACUCCUACGGGAGGCAGCAGUGGGGAAUCUUAGACAAUGGGGGAAACCCUGAUCUAGCCAUGCCGUGUGAUCGAUGAAGGCCUUAGGGUUGUAAAGAUCUUUCAGAUGGGAAGAUAAUGACGGUACCAUCAGAAGAAGCCCCGGCUAACUCCGUG